GCCAGUGUGAUGUAGUGGUCUGAGUGAUAAACUAGGACUCUGAAAGACCAGGGUUCAAAUCCCUGCUCAGACA